CCUACGGGAGGCAGCAGUGGGGAAUAUUGGACAAUGGGGGCAACCCUGAUCCAGCCAUGCCGCGUGUGUGAAGAAGGCCCUCGGGUUGUAAAGCACUUUCAGUGAGGAAGAACGCCUGGUGGUUAAUACCCAUCAGGAAAGACAUCACUCACAGAAGAAGCACCGACUAACUCCGUGCCAGCAGCCGCGGUAAUACGGAGGGUGCGAGCGUUAAUCGGAAUUACUGGGCGUAAAGCGCGCGUAGGUGGCUUGAUAAGCCGGUUGUGAAAGCCCCGGGCUCAACCUGGGAACGGCAUCCGGAACUGUCAAGCUAGAGUGCAGGAGAGGAAGGUAGAAUUCCCGGUGUAGCGGUGAAAUGCGUAGAGAUCGGGAGGAAUACCAGUGGCGAAGGCGGCCUUCUGGACUGACACUGACACUGAGGUGCGAAAGCGUGGGUAGCAAACAGGAUUAGAUACCCCAGUAGUC
rnacentral:rRNA from 1 species